rnacentral:rRNA from 1 species
UACAGGGGGGGCAAGCGUUGUUCGGAAUUACUGGGCGUAAAGGGCUCGUAGGUGGCCAACUAAGUCAGACGUGAAAUCCCUCAGCUUAACUGGGGAACUGCGUCUGAUACUGGAUGGCUUGAGUUUGGGAGAGGGAUGCGGAAUUCCAGGUGUAGCGGUGAAAUGCGCAGAUAUCAGGAAGAACACCCGUGGCGAAGGCGGCUCACUGGCCCGGUACUGACGCUGAGGUGCGAAAGCGUGGGGAGCAAACAGG